rnacentral:rRNA from 1 species
GUACACUCCUGCGGGAGGCAGCAGUGGGGAAUUUUGGACAAUGGGCGAAAGCCUGAUCCAGCAAUGCCGCGUGAGUGAAGAAGGCCUUCGGGUUGUAAAGCUCUUUUGUCAGGGAAGAAACGGUGAAAGCUAAUAUCUUUUGCUAAUGACGGUACCUGAAGAAUAAGCACCGGCUAACUACGUGCCAGCAGCCGCGGUAAUACGUAGGGUGCAAGCGUUAAUCGGAAUUACUGGGCGUAAAGCGUGCGCAGGCGGUGUUGUAAGUCUGAUGUGAAAUCCCCGGGCUCAACCUGGGAAUUGCAUUGGAGACUGCAAGGCUAGAAUCUGGCAGAGGGGGGUAGAAUUCCACGUGUAGCAGUGAAAUGCGUAGAUAUGUGGAGGAACACCGAUGGCGAAGGCAGCCCCCUGGGUCAAGAUUGACGCUCAUGCACGAAAGCGUGGGGAGCAAACAGGAUUAGAUACCCGGGUAGUCCCAU